UGUGAUUGACAAGAUACCAGAA
rnacentral:misc_RNA from 1 species